UUAUGUGUUCAAAAAGGACAUUUGAUUAGCAGGUAUAAUAGUGAUAUUGAUAAUUCUCUCUCGCUGUCUCCCUCUCACAGGGGAAAGUGCGACACACUACCUCGUGAAGAACACAAUAAGAACCUUCAAGGAACUGGGGGUCCUGAAAGAGAGCCGCGAGAAGAAAGUCACGCUGCUGGAGGUCAGCAGCACCUUCCUACCUCAAGCAAACAGAACAAAGCUCCUUCAGUACAUCCUGGGUUUCAGCCUCUUGUAAAGCGUGACACACACACACACGCACGCGCACACACACGCAAAUAUGCGCACAUGCAAGUACACAAACACACAAAUACUCUGCAAAAAGGGCUUUUGCUGGCUAGUUAAAAAAAGGUGCUAUUCUAUGGCAAAGCUUUACCAGGAAGUGCCUUCAUAAAAUGAACUUACGGGAUAAUAGGCUUCUCUUCAGUCUUCCUCCGGAUUAGACAUUUAACACGUGACGUGCAGCUAAUCGCUCAGAGCAGUGCUUGUGCACCACCCGUAAUACCUGAAUGUACAUUUGAGCGUUUUCGCCAGUGAAAGCCCUAGCUUUUAAUCACUUUUUUUGUUUUAGCCAUGAGAAUGGGGUUUUAUUCAUCUCUGCUGUUUGUCCUCGCUCAAUAGGGCACGGAUGUCAUGCUUUGCACCCAGCAGGUUUCCUUCGCUGUGUCAAAAAAGUGAGGUGAGACCGCAGAUACACCACCGUCGGGAGAUGAUCGUGACGGUUACGAAUGGUGAUAAUGAACGGCGAUUAUCAAGGGCAUUUUAUUCUGUUUGCUUUUGAAGCAUGUGUCUAGGGGAGUAAAACAAAGUGCUUAAGGCUUAAGGAUUUCCAGUAUCGUGGAAACUCCAGGAACUGUAAGGCAGACGCUAAAUUUGAGGUCAUCUCACUCUCUGAGACGCUACAUUGUGUCUUGUGAGAGACUAGCUUUGCUUUCUGAGAAUUAGACAAAGAGUUCUAGAUAUUGUACUUGCCCACGUGGUAUUAGAUUCAGUUUGUGGCUGGGAUAUUAAUGUGGUGACAUCAGCUGCAGAGCAAAUAUGGUAUUCUCAGUGAUCUGUAGAAUUGUCCAUUGAAGAAAACAUUCAAGUUUGACUGCGCUAUCCCAUUAUUUCUACCCGUCUGUCGAGUGAUGUCAUUAUAGUUAACACCCAAAUAAUGCAUUACAUUCAGUCAACCUUGCCACAGUGUUACAUAAACAAUGUGUGUUGUUUGGGUGUACUUUCUAUCAGUGGUACAGCAGUACAAAAACAAUGUGAGUUUGUUAUAUGGUGGUGCAUUCUGUCAAUGUUGCUACAAUGUUACCUAAACGAUGUAAGUGUGCAGAUCAGAUUUAUAUUCUGUCAGCUUUGCUACAAUGCUGUGUAACCACCCAAACAGUUGUACAAUGCCGUUGGGUGUGACCUGUUAGCAUUUCUCAGCAAGUGCAAAAUGUGUAGGUUUCCAUUGAACAGUCAAUGUUGUGGUUCCUUUGUAUGUUUGAGAAGAGCGUGUUAGCAGCGUUGGGAUUUCUUUUCCAGUUUUAAAUGUGUCAGAGUAGCCUUACUGCGCUUCACUGUUGCAUUAAACAUUCUGUAGCUCCUGAAGAUGGAUGGAAUCGCUGAGAAAAGUCUAAACUUAACCCACAGCUUUCUGUCUUUUCAUUUUGCACUGUAUACUACGAGUUAAGUGUAGUACUCUUUGAUUGGUCAAAGUGUGAAAGGGAAGACUACAGGCGGACAUAAGGCGGACUGAAGCAAGUCAUUUGAUAAACUUGGCAUAGCCUCGUGUUGCUUAAGGCGGGCUAAAACUCCCAUGAAUGUGAAGUUUGAAGAUGCACAUUGUCCACAUAAGUACAACUUGUAGGAGGGCAUCAGCGCCACACAGUGAGGAGCCAGAUGGUCAAAAUUUUAAAACGUAGCCCCCUUUUUGUGUCCAAAAGAAAAAAGUUAUGUGUUAUAUUUUGUAACAUUGCUGUUGCAAUUUCGUUUCAGUUAUCACCACAACCGUGUAAGCUAUGGUAAACCUAGGUUACCCUCAGCUAACCCUAACUUGAAAAUAGGUAGUAAAUCAUUAGAAUAAUUGGAUUGGAUGAAGUGUACAUUUGAAUGUCGUAGAUGUGCCUGUGUAGUCAUUAGUGAUCUGUGAAAAUACUAUUUUUUUCCCCUUACAUCUAUUUCACUAAAUUAUGUCAGUAAAGGUUUGAGGCAACAUGGAAACUUGCAGUUUCAAUAACGAUAAUUGUUAUGCAUAAUGAUAAUAAUGAAAAUUAUUACACAUAAUAUGUUUAACCACAUGUUGACUCUCGGUUGCAAAAAGAGAUGUGAAAAUAGAUUUUUUUUCCCCCCCUGUUUCCCAGCUUGCUUCAGUAGGAAGGCUGUGAUAGGCUUUUGGUUGGUUUAAUGUUUGAUUUUUUUUUUUUUUUAAACACAAUAAACUGUAGGAAUACAAUGCCCAUAGGAUCCUGCAGGAAAAAAAAAAUUGUGAUUGAGCGAGGUUUGUCCUAUGACAUAUGCCUGCAUUUAUGUUUAGUACUGUGAAAUCCAUUAAAUAUUCAAAAAGAGUUUUCAGUACUGAUGUCCUUCGUUGACAAUAGCCCGCAUUUACAAAGGACUUUACUUUGUCAUUGAAGUGGGCCUGAUUGGAAGUCACUAAAAUCUGGACCUCACAAUAGUGAUUCCUUGAGCACAAUACCCAAUAAGCCCCCACCUGGGUUACAAACAUGUUUGUGUUUGUAAAACAGGAACCCAUUCUUCCAUAUUUUACCCUUAGAUAGAAGAGUAGGUUUUUGGAAUGCUUUCUGCAGAAUUAUAAAACAGUGUUCUAGAACUCCAUUGCUUUCAAUAACCACUAACAGUUGUUACAUCAGCUAUAGAAUGUUUUUGAUCUCACACCUUAGAAUUUACACCAAGCCAUAGUGCAACAAAAACUAUAAACUCGUUAGCUUUCGCCACUUGGUCUUGUCCCUGAAAAUGUUGUGAGAGUAAGUCCAUUAGGUUUCCAAAGGCUACCAAUUUAGUUCCACUGCACCAAGUGCCCAAAUGCUACCUGUUGUCACCAGUGAGAGCCAUGCUAAUCCUCUAGUUGCAGGUAGUGCAUGGAGUACACCUGUAGUGUGUGGCAAAAUCUCUGGCUUGUGCAAAAGCUUCAACUGCAGUUGUUCUUGCUAGGGGUACAGGUGACCGCACAUGGUUGGGGGUCACAACUGGAAAUUGAUUACAGAUUGAAACUGGGAGUAACAUUGGUCUGUGUGGGAGGGUUUCUGAUAAUUGGUAUGCCUGGAGAGCAUGAGCUUACCAUAGCAAUGUGUUAUCCCAUACUCGCAUUGUUGUCUAAGGGAAGGGUUGGUUUUGGUUUGAUGAAUGGUACUCAAGUUACUGAUGCUAUGCAACCUAUAUCCAUCAUGCAAAUCAUUUCUGCGAACUAAUCCAUCUUAUCUCAGCAAAAUGAUGAGCGUGCGCGUCCUCUUGACUUCUAGCAUAGUCUGCUGUUAACGUAUGGAACUGUUGUGUGGAUCCUGGGUCUCCGCAGAAGAACUUCACCACAUCCUUGAAACUUUGAACAGGGCAGGUUUAUUUCCCCUCACGGACAUACGGCCUGAUUUAUUGACACCUUUAGCAAAACCAACAACGCAACCAGUGAUUGGUCAUGGCAUUUGUUUUGCGCCAAUCAAUGGUUGUGUUAUUCAUUUUGCGAGUGCUAAAAUGUUUUGCACUUGCUGAAGGUUUCAGUAAGUCAGGCCCAUACUGGCUGGCUGAGAGCUGGAUUGAUGGAGUGAGUUGAACACUCGGCAGAGGGGUGUGAUAUUACUGAUCAAGCACGGGGGAGCGGUCAAUUAAACAAACUUUGGAAAAAAAUACACUCGUCUGCGUAUUUGCUGAAGGGACCUUUCUUGUCAACAGGCACGAAAAAAAAAACAACUGCAGUGCUCAUCUUGUUUCCUUAUGUAAUUAUUCUUGCACUUAAAAUUAAAAAGACAAAGCAAUAAUGAACUGUGUCCUUUUCUUAUAGCACAGACUCCAAACGCAUCAUGCAUACACAUGCUUUCGGCCUAUUAUGCACACACACACACAAAUUAAAUAGCACACACACAUGCACAUGCACUCACUGAACACACUCUAAACUGUAGGCAAAUAAUGUAUGAUGUAGUUAGUAAGUUGAAAAAGUCAUUUUAAUUUUGAGCUGAAAGGUUAGUGUGUGCUAAAUGGCAUUCUCUGGCAGCACAUGUGACCAAUCCAGUCUCUCGUCAUGUAAAGAGCUCUGGUCACAGUGAACGCGAGUCGCCCUGAAAACAAUGAUGUGUUCAUUCAUGCAGUCAAUUGUUGUUACAUUACAUUCUAUUAUUUUAAUCUUCAGAAAAUGAACUGCUGUGUCAAUGUUACCUUUUCUCUGCAUGGUUAAAAAAAAGCGCUGUAAGGUAACCCUGAAACAAAAAGAGCUGUACCUCUGAUUACAGAAUCAUGGUGACGCACAUGUAUGUUUUUGUUUGGUUUUGUUUUAAAUGGGUUUAUUCAU